rnacentral:lncRNA from 1 species
CAUCUCUGGGCCCAACAGCAGGCCUUGCUAGACACCUCGUGUCCCUUCGGCUUCGCUGGGUUUUUACAUUGAAAUUGAAGCUGCAAAUUCACUCUCGCAUUGUGGAAGCCCACUAGUACUUGUCUUGGCCAUGUCCCAAACAGAGAGAGAGAGAGAGAGGGAGUGAGAUAGAGGGAGGGAGCAGGAGUGCAGGAGGUGGAGACAAAGGCAUUUCGACCGUGGUCCACAUGUUGGCUUGCAGCUGGGAUAGAUGGAUAGAGGGCUGCCCCUGCAUCCUGCCCCGUGUCCCGUGCACCCUGCCACGUACCGCAUGGCUAUGUGCAAGGUGACGUUUGCUUUGGUCCUGGCAGCUGCGGUUCUUUUGGUCCUACGGCUUCUGGUCCUAUGGCGCAUUUGUUAGCAG